ACGAGAGGGGAGGUGACACUGUGAUCACCGGCGGACGCACGUUGCGAGUUUCGUUUUUGUUUCUGUUUAAAUCUCGCACUCUGGUCGCCCGAGCGCGUUGAGCGGAACAUCUGGAAUUGGAGGCAACUUGCAGUCCCACACUUGCCGCUAACUGUCCUGUAAAAAGCCGAACCUGCAAGCUUACGAGGGAGAUGCUGAUCUCCGUUGCUGCGCCUCCUGAUCGCCGGGCUGGAAGGGUAGCUGCCGUGUCCCGGGGAGGAUGCUGAACAGAUACUGGAGCAACGGGAGUACAUAGAGGAGUAUCCAGGUGCAACACACCACCUCUGGCAGUCAUGAGGAAUAGAGGAAUGUCCUCAGCUGACUGUACUGCGUCUGCACGCUGCUGCUGUUGUGUGUCUCCGUCAAACUUUGGAGAAUUUGUUUUCACCACCAAAGAGCCAAAUCCAUAUUGUUAGUUUUGUUUGUACCAG